AAUGUAUGGGGAUCUGCCCGAUAGAGGGGGAUAACUACUGGAAACGGUGGCUAAUACCGCAUAAUGUCUACGGACCAAAGCAGGGGCUCUUCGGACCUUGCACUAUCGGAUGAACCCAUAUGGGAUUAGCUAGUAGGUGGGGUAAAGGCUCACCUAGGCGACGAUCUCUAGCUGGUCUGAGAGGAUGAUCAGCCACACUGGGACUGAGACACGGCCCAG
rnacentral:rRNA from 1 species